ensembl:snRNA U6 U6 spliceosomal RNA
GUGCUUACUUCGACAGCACAUAUACUAAAAUUGGAACAAUACAGAAAAGAUUAGCACGGCCCUUGCGCAACGAUGACUUGCAAAUUCGUGAAGCGUUCAUAUUUUAG